rnacentral:rRNA from 1 species
UACGAGAGGCCCAAACGUUAUUCGGAAUUACUGGGCGUAAAGGGCUCGUAGGCGGCCAACUAAGUCGGAUGUGAAAUCCCCAGGCUUAACCUGGGAACUGCAUCCGAUACUGGAUGGCUUGAAUUCGGGAGAGGGAUGCAGAAUUCCAGGUGUAGCGGUGAAAUGCGUAGAUAUCUGGAGGAAUACCGGUGGCGAAGGCGGCAUCCUGGACCGACAUUGACGCUGAGGAGCGAAAGCUAGGGGAGCAAACGGG